ensembl:lncRNA
GUGAGUUUGGAGGAAUAUAUGAGAUCCAAUCUGUAUCUCUGUUUUGGAAAGUCUUUCCCACUGACUUUAUCAGCAGGAUCCUUUGUGAUGCUGAUGUUGACCCUUAUCACACUGCCCUUUCUCCUGUGGUUUGGAGCAGGUCCAGGUGGCACCGUGGACUGAAGGGUGAUGGCUCACUGCUGGAAGCAUUUCUCUGUUUUCAUUACCAAGCAACGGUGCAAGAAGCCAACAGUAUCAUUUGAGGAUUAUCAUGCUCUCUUCUGAAGCCGAGAGUAUUGCAAGUCUGUAUAAAACUGAGUACUCCUACGUCAUCUGAACUCCUGCUGCUGCUCUACAAACUCGACAGCAGUUGAGCAACAAGACAUAUGCCAACCAGUGAAGGAAGAUGAAGCAUGAAUAUAAGCAAGAUGUACAUGCAAUGGCACACCUGAUUUUCAUGUGCUGUGGAGAAAUUAUGUGCUGAAUGGUUGGACUUACUUAAAAUGGUUCAAAAUCCUGAAGAAUUCUGACUACAAGAACAGUUCUGGAAAAAAAAAAGAUCAUAGGUCAGCAAGAAUCAUGAGUCAUAUCUUCUAUGUUUGAGUUGAUGUAUUAUUCCACAACAAUGGAUUUUGAGCCUGUAAGUACAGCUAGAGCUCAUCUGUGUAACUUGCCAAGCAUCCUACAAAAUGAAAUAGCAGUGACAAACCAAGGAAUCUGAGAACAUUCUUAUUCAGAGGCAGAAAUCAAACUAAAAUUGAACUUGAAGAGAGAUAAAGCAUCUGAAAAGGUAGGCUGAGUAUACAGAAUGCUGUUCUCCACACUUCCAUAAGCAAAGGAUCCCUAGCACAAGAAAGACAUGGAGCUGUUGGAGCAAAUCCUGAGGCGGGCCACAAAGACAAUCAGAAGGCUGGAGCACCGCCCCUGUGAAGAGAGGCUGAGGGAGCUAAGCUUGUACCCCUUUGUAUUUCUUGCAGUUUCCAUUGCUUGUGGUAUUACUUUUGCCGCAAACCUCAUAGAAUGCAAUUUCCAAAUAUGAUGAGUAUGAUUAUUUCCUGUAUCAGAUCAUAGAUGCAGGAAUCAGGGCCAAAAUCUCUCUCCUUCAGCUUACCUGUUGUUAGGGCUGGCAAUUAUGUGUUUGCUAAAAAUUUUGUGGUGGAAGGUAAAGAAAAGUGCCAUGCUCCUCUCAGUGACACUAUGCAUGAUGUCAACAUGAUGGAACUCUGAAUCCCUGAGCCGACGUUGACAUAUUCUCACACUGAAAAGCUUCCCUUAAAAACUGCAGUGUCACUGGAAUGGGAGCCCAGAUAAGUACCUGCCUAUACCAAAGGUAUAAUCUGUCUCAUCACUUGUAACAGGCAACGGAGCAGAUCUCUGGCACGUGGGCUAGUCUUUGAAGCCCUACAGAAGGUUGUGUUGGUGUUGUCUUUCUCUGACAGAGAGUGAAGCCAGGUCACAGCCAGAAAGUACAUGAGGCCACAAAGAAGCAAAGAUUUUAGCUACAUGUUCAGCCUUUUCCCAGAAGCAAUACAGCCUCGCUGGUCAAUGUUCAACAGAUACUGCAUGUUGUGGGAUCCAGCUUACUGUUAAGAACUAUGUGCUGAGUUGUCAACGUUUGGACAGCACUGGGCUACACACAGAUUUUCAUGAAGGCUGAUUCCUUACAUGCUGGUUAAACAUUACUAUUCCAACAAGAGAAAAGCUGAUCUGAAAUCCCAUUGGUGUCAGUUACUGGAGGUGCUGUCUAGAAGGAAAGCACCCUAUAGUCUCCCUUCCAUUUUUUCUCAUCUGUUACUGCCCAUGACAAACAGAUUCAUUCUAAGUGGAAAUUUCAAGCCCAGUGAUACUGUCCCUUUCCUCGUCAGUCAACAGAGAGAUGCGUACACUGCAGAAGGGACAUGUGCCUCCCCAGAGCUACAGCCAAACCUACCGUGAUUUUGAGGACCAUCAGCAAAGGUCAGAGCAUCACUCUGCCAAGCCAUAAUGCAUCUAUCAACAUAAAGUCAAAGUCUGUCCCCAGGACUGCUAUGUGAAUAACACUGGAACUUUAAACUGUGCAGUUCACACCCUGUAUACAUACAAGAAAUUGAAGAAAUUCACAAUAAUUAACCUUAUUUGCAUUGUUCCAGCAGAAGGGAUGAGAAAGUGUUUCCAAAAGCAUUUGCAAAAAAUGUUCAUAGAGGUGCCUUCUGCAACGCGAGGCUCUCCAUGGAAGAGCCCACAGAAGUAUAGUUAGUGCUUUUAAGUCAGCCCUGCACUGAGUAGAUUAGCUAAGAGAGAAGAAAAUGACACAGUGAAAGAACCUUGUUAAAAAUAUAGAUUAAAUUGACGAAGCCCAAAAGUUCUAAGUAAAUAUCUGUUUUUUGUUAAAAAUAAAAAAAAAAUUAAAAAAAAAAAAAAAAAAGGAAAGAAAGAAUGUCAUUAUCAAUUCUGAAACAGCUGUUGUUCAGACACAGACGCAGUUCCCAUCAUUACACCGUAGAGAUACAGUUUCCUUAUCCCUCAUGUCUCCCUGCUCUUCUUGGCUGGGGAACGUGCUCAGGAUUUGUUGAGAAAGAAGUAUAUAUGAAUUCAGUCAUUCUUGUAUCUUGCUCACCUUGUAGAUAUAGGUGUAGACAUAUAACAAGAACAGUGGAAUAAGGCCAGAGUAUCCUGACUGUUGAUAAGGAUGGAUAAGAAGCAGAAAAUAGCAUUCGUGUUUAAAUCAAAAGAUAUCUAGCAGGUAUGAUGUCAGGACAAGCAGGCCUAUUGGUGUCCCUUUAAAGUACAGGAGAAGAGGAAUAGCUAAACUUAGUGUAUAUUUUUAUAAUCAGCUUUUUUUGUGAUCCUGAAAACUCACAUAUUUACUUCUCACUACAUGUGCUUCCAUCAAACUUCAAAGUAUGGACAACUCAGUUCAAAAUUGCAUUAUACCUCUUAGUUGGCUGUUGGCUAUAUAUACUGCGGAAGGACUGAACAAAAGAAUCAUGUAACUUGUCUUCUGGUAGUAACAGAAAUAUUAGUGGCAUAGACCAAGCUGUUGAUUUGUUACAUUUCAGGCCUCAGGUAAUAAUUUCACAGCUCUGCUGCAGGGUAGAACUAAAAGUACAUUGUUUUCUGACAAAAUGUAAUCAGAAUUGGUGACUAUCCAGAUUUCUAUGUAAGCAUUUGGUGUGAUGCUGUGUGUUUGUGUGUGUAUGCAUAUAUCUAUGUUUAUCUGUAUCUUGUCUUAACUGAUAUAAUGUAGACAGCACAAUGCAUUUUCCUCCAAAGACCUAUAAACUGAGCUCUAUUGAAUAGCUUAUGAUACCAGAACCAUCUUUUCUGUUUAAUGGUGUAAUGUAUCUUCUGUAGACACGAAAAUCUGGAAAAUCACAUUAAUGCUAGGUUUAAUUAGAGUAAUGAUCAAAUUUGGAGGUUAGGCUUGAAAAAUACGUAUCCAGAUUGUCAAAAUUUCUUCAUCAAAGGUUCCUAUUGGAUGCCUGUGCUCGCUAACUUACUGUCUUCGGAGGCCUAUCAAAUUUGGACUAGACCUAGUUUGAUGGUUAAAACUGACUGUAAUAUUGACAAGUUUUUGGUAUGACAUGAAAAGUAUUGAAGUUUAUUGUUCUACAGACUUCUUUCUAGGCUUUAGCUGAGACACAUAUAGGAAUUAUUUUCUUUCUUUAGACAUCUUCACAAAACGUGCAGUAAUAAAAUUUUGUCUUAAACACCUCUACUUUUCUUUGAAUCUGUGUAGAAAUUUGAAUUAUUAGGAACAAGAGAUGAAAAGGGAUAGAAAACAUAGCCAUAAGUUUCCUUCCCCAAGAAAAUAGGUUUAAAGUGUUUGCUAACAGUUGCUAAGACAAACAAUUAUAAAAAAAAAAUAGUUUAUUGCCAUUUCUUGCCUGAGAACCAAAAAGCCAAUUAAUAUUUAAGCAGUCACUUUCCAUCUGCCUAGUCCUGAUUUGUCCACCUGUCAGCAGUGAUCUCCAUCAAAGCUUACCAGGAGGAUGAGCAUCUCUCAGCAGACUCUCCAAGACUGAAGGAAGCCUAUUUCACUAGCAUGGAUAGCACUGUUGUAGCUUUUGUCUUCAGUGCCCAUUGCGCUCUUGGACAGGGUAACAUAAACGAAUAUGCUUCCUCUCACUAGUGAGUGGAGAGCAGCUGCUGAUAAGGGGAAUCAUACAGUGGGAAGGGAAUGAGAUUUUAAGUAAUCUGGGCAAUGACAGCCCUGAGGGUUCUGCAGCUUGUAAGCAGCAUGGACACUCUCUGACCUUGCUUUCUUUGCCUCAUUUCACCUGAUAAAUGAGUGUGGUGCACUGGGAGUUCGGGUCUACCCGCCCACAGCAGUGCAAAUCACUUCACUGAAGGGAUAAUUGAGUAUGUGAGAGGCUCUGCUCAGAGAACUUUCACAUGAUUGCAGUUGCAAAGGGUAACCACUUCCUCAGCCUGUCUGACUGAAAGGUGAGUCAAACAGAGAUCAGUACAGGCACUAACAGAGUAACUAGAGAUGAAAGGAGAAAACCCCACAGCUCAUAAUGAGUGAGGAGACCCACAGCUCUGGUGCACUGACCAAGUGUGUGGUCACUCCAAGUUAGCAUGAUGUGAGUGCAAAUGGACAUGGCUCCCAUUUCUUUGUCCAGAAUAUCACAGGCAGAAAUACGCAUCUCACUGAACCUCCUGCCUGUGCACUGUACAGAUGGCCAGCACAUGUGUGGUAUGUCAG